AGCACUUGGCUCAGCCGGCAGGCAUGGUGCUGGAAACACCAGGCUAGCUAGGCGCAGGUUCGAAACCUGCGGUGCUG